UACGGAGGGUGCGAGCGUUGUUCGGAAUCACUGGGCGUAAAGGGCGUGUAGGCGGUCCGCUAAGUCUGAUGUGGAAGCCCGGGGCUCACCCCCGGAAGUGCAUUGGAAACUGGCGGACUCGAGUCCCGGAGAGGAGAGUGGAAUUCCUGGUGUAGCGGUGAAAUGCGUAGAUAUCGUAAGGAAGACCAGUGGCGAAGGCGGGUCUCUGGACAGUUCCUGACGCUGAGGCACGAAGGCCAGGGGAGCAAACGGG
rnacentral:rRNA from 1 species